UUUACAAUACCGCGUUUAAUAAAGGACUUGUGACAAAUUAGAGAAAAUCUUUUUGACACGAAAUGAAAAGUUUGAUUUUCAUGACAAUUCUUGAUUUCUAAAUAACGUUGCUCAACAGUAAUUCUCUUAGCCAGAUGAAAGAUGCUCUCUUUCUUAAACUUGGACGUUUCUAUAACGUUUCGAUAUAACGUCAGAUGAAAAAUAAACGAAAAAAGUGAAAUAUCCUUAAGGGCUCUGAAAUGCUUCGAGUCGACUCUGGCAACUGCGACGCGACGUGUUGUGACUGUGAGUGCCGAGUGGCAGGCUGGCAGACCGAUGAUGUCAACUUUCCAGCAUUGUACGAUGUACAUUGUGCAGUAAACGUAAAUUUUAUGCUGUUGGUGGAUUAAAACUGUAGGCGGGAAAAAAGAUUAGAUAGCUUCCUAUCGGUAGAGAGAUAUUUUUCAGCGUGUUUCGAUUAAUUAGCCGUUGAAUUUUGCAAUUCAUAGCACGGUGACAACUGUCACGCUCACGCAACAAAGAUGCCUAAUUUGAGCAAUCUAUCCCAUUUUCCCUUAAAGAUGAUAUUUACAAUUCACUUGAUAUUCAUAACAUGGGGUGUUCAAGGAAGUUGGUGUCCAAAAUCUGUAGUAUUUUAUAACUUUCUAUUCUUUGUUUGUAUAUUAUGGGCAGUUCAUAAUAUCGAGUCAGACGAACCACUUCAAUUUGCACUUGUCAUAAAUGUGCUCUCUAUAUUCCUCGACGUGGUCGUUUUAGCAGUGUAUUACCCGACAGAGGGAUACAGUGCAUCCGAUAAGUUUAGUGCGGCAUUUAUGAUUAUAAACUUGAUCGUCCGUCCUAUCUCGAGUAUGUACCUUCUGCGAAUAGGCCAGGAAAGAGGUGGUACUUUAGCCACAGUGUUCACACCGAGUCCAGCAAUGGGUCAGUAAAUCACUGGAUAAGCAUCCAUGCUUUUGUAGUCAAUGCUGCAAAUGUCAAGAUUGAUUUGAAAGUUUUGGCCGAAAGGAUUAUGAAGACAUAUCUCAUCCUAUUCCACAGAAUUCUGAUUUUGAAGGGGUUUAGAUAGGGGUUUAGAGAGCAGAGUUUUCAAGUCAUGUAACAUACAUAUGUGACAUGAUUGAUUGCAAACAUAUGUUGAACGUCUUGUUUAUAUUAACCAAUUAACUAGAGAUUAUAUAUAUAUUUUUUUUUUUCCAAUUUACUGACAAGUGUUUGUUUUCUGGUCAAGCGUUUUGCAAUGUAUUUGAUAUUGAUGUACAUAUAUACAUAACUCUAGCA